rnacentral:tRNA from 1 species
AACGAGGUAGUUCAAUGGUAGAACGUUAAAAUCAUAAUUUAAUAGUUACAGGUUCAAAUCCUGUCUUCGUUA